AGAUUGAACGCUAGCGGGAUGCUUUACACAUGCAAGUCGAACGGCAGCGCGGACUUCGGUCUGGCGGCGAGUGGCGAACGGGUGAGUAAUAUAUCGGAACGUGCCCAGUAGCGGGGGAUAACUACGCGAAAGCGUGGCUAAUACCGCAUACGCCCUACGGGGGAAAGGGGGGGAUUCGUUCGGAACCUCUCACUAUUGGAGCGGCCGAUAGUCAGAUUAGCUAGUUGGUGAGGUAAAGGCUCACCAAGGCGACGAUCUGUAGCUGGUUUGAGAGGACGACCAGCCACACUGGGACUGAGACACGGCCCAGACUCCUACGGGAGCAGCAGUGGGAAUUUUGGGACAAGUGGGGGAAACCCUGGACUCCGAGUCCGAUCCCCGCGUGUGCCGAGUGAAGGUCCGUUCGGGUUAGUAACGCUACGUUUGGACGUAGGAACGAACGGACGUACGCCGUAACGUACGG
rnacentral:rRNA from 1 species